rnacentral:rRNA from 1 species
AACGCUGGCGGUAUGCUUAACACAUGCAAGUUGAACGAAAUUACUAGCAAUAGUAAUUUAGUGGCGGACGGGUGAGUAAUAUGUAAGAAUCUGCGCUUGGGCGAGGAAUAACAGAUGGAAACGUUUGCUAAUGCCUCAUAAUUUACUAGAUCUAUGUGAGUAGCUAGUUAAAGAGAAUUUCGCCUAGGCAUGAGCUUGCAUCUGAUUAGCUUGUUGGUGAGGUAAAGGCUUACCAAGGCGACGAUCAGUAGCUGAUUUGAGAGGAUGAUCAGCCACACUGGGAUUGAGAACGGAACAGACUUCUACGGAAGGCAGCAGUGAGGAAUUUUCCGCAAUGGGCGCAAGCCUGACGGAGCAAUACCGCGUGAAGGAAGACGGCCUUUGGGUUGUAAACUUCUUUUCUCAAAGAAGAAGAAAUGACGGUAUUUGAGGAAUAAGCAUCGGCUAAUUCCGUGCCAGCAGCCGCGGUAAUACGGGAGAUGCGAGCGUUAUCCGGAAUUAUUGGGCGUAAAGAGUUUGUAGGCGGUCAAGUGUGUUUAAUGUUAAAAGUCAAAGCUUAACUUUGGAAGGGCAUUAAAAACUGCUAGACUUGAGUAUGGUAGGGGUGAAGGGAAUUUCCAGUGUAGCGGUGAAAUGCGUAGAGAUUGGAAAGAACACCAAUGGCGAAGGCACUUUUCUAGGCCAAUACUGACGCUGAGAAACGAAAGCUGAGGGAGCAAACAGGAUUAGAUACCCUGGUAGUCUUGGCCGUAAACUAUGGAUACUAAGUGGUGCUGAAAGUGCACUGCUGUAGUUAACACGUUAAGUAUCCCGCCUGGGGAGUACGCUUGCACAAGUCGCGGCCGCUAGCGGC